CUACGUGAUGAUGAAUAAAUUUCAAUACUUAUAUUAAAAACAGUUUUGUUCUGUUUGAAAAGCGUUAUUAAAAUAAAGCUUUCACACGAGCGCAGAGUCACAGCAGGCACGCUUCUAAGGCGGGAGAUUUAAACUCACGACCGGCGCGCUCCGUGGCUUUGCUCGUUCAGCGCUAACAGCUAGCUACAAAAGCACAGGUGAUCCAUGCUAAUGCGAGCCGUCUGCAUCAACGACACCUCCGCUAGGAAAGGAUGGAAUUAAGACGUUCGACAAGCAAAAUAUUCAGAAGCCAGUGUUGGACACUGAGGUGGCACUCUUCGCUUUAUCAAGCUAGCCUGGAAUACAGACAGGAAGAGUCCCAUUGCAUCAUUGAGGCACAGGGAUACCCUAUUGUUACCAUGGUUACCUCCAGUAAAAUACCAUCAAAGCACUGUCAUCUGUGUGCACACUGACUGUAGCUUGACUUGCUCUUAUAUACAUGUAUUGUCAUUUCGUUUCAUUUUUUCCCUCCAGAUCUUCCUGUCGUUUAAUCUAAAAAAAAAAACAACAACCCCAAAAAACUUUCCUGGAAAGGUCAGCGUGCGUCAGGGGGACUAUUCUCUGGAAUGCGUGAUUUAUUACUGAUGGGCAGUUUUGCAGUGUUUGCCAGAAAGGCUGAAUCGCCAUCCAGAGACGUUUCCUGACAGUGUCAUGGCAGCGUGUCCACAGGUCUCUACAUAUGUUACUGUGUAAGCCCUCCCUGCCUUUGUAUUUUUGUCUAAAUGACUAAAUCAAAUGUGUUCUGUGCCGGGGCACCUACACCUCAGAGCUUGCUGUGAAUCAGUAACAACAUCAGAUUGUCAGAUAAGUGAGAUGAGAAGUGAAUCAGCAGCUGAGAAGACCAAAAUUAAAUCAACAUAUGCCUGGUGUUGUUUAUUGUGAAAAUCAGUUUAAUUGAGCUCUUGCUCCUUUCCAUCCUUGUAAUUCUUGUUGCAGUGCGCUUCGUUCCCAAAUGAGCCGUUGUGCCAUGUCUCACUAUGAUUUGGCAGUGAGACGCACACGCCACCAGUCAGGAGUUACAUUACUCAGCCCAUCUGCUCCAUACAAACUGUGGUUCGCACUUCAAAGAUGUCUCUCGCACCAGUUACUGCAGUGAGGUGCAAGCCUGACAAUUAGCAGAAAUAAUGCAGCAGGGUGCUGUUUCUAGAACAUACAGUAGUAAAGUAGGGGGGGGGGAGUGAAGAAAUAACAUUUGAUUUACUGUUCCUUUCCUAGAAACACAGAUGCUGUUUGAAUGUUGAUUGCUACUGAGUAGACUGUGGAGGAAAAAAAUGAUAAAAAAUUAUCUUUAAUUCCAUUCCUACUUGAAUGGAACUCUGAGCUGCCUCUUUAGACCGUUUAUGAAUGCAUAAGUAAAUCCCAGAUGGUUGGCUGUGCCUUAUUUUGUUUUUAUUCCCUUUCCCAUCAACCUUGUGACAAAAUGUAUGACCAAACCCAGUUUGUAGUCAAUUGAAAUGACUGUAUUAGGAUCCAAACCCAUACCUGGCGGCUCUCUGGUGCUAAAAAUGAAAUCUCAGAUCAUCCAUAAAGCCACGUCCUACGGCUCUGGGGGUUUUUCUGCGUAGCCCCAACCAUCUAUAACCGUGACAGCACGUCAUGUGGGGACUGCACAGGUCGCUCUCCUAGGGGAAGUCUAAUCCAUGAGCCUGGAUCCUCUUUGCCCACGACCUUCAAAUUUCACUGCAGGGAUGGUGUUUGGAACAACAAGACAUGCACCACGUCACAUGCCAUAAUGGACGUCGUAUUUCCUGACUUGUCACAGCCUGUCACCUUCCGCUGCAUAAUGUGGCUUUUACUUGCAAAAAUGCCUGUGUAGACCCACCUUCAUCUGACAGCAUGUUGGAAAAAAAAUACUCCUCUUGGUGUCUGUGUUGAAGGUCAGAUGACGCUGAUCAGAAGUGUUCAUCAUUUAGCCCAUUUUGGUUCAGCACAAACAUUUUUUCCAUUCUGUCUGGGAGAUUCUCAUCAAGUGUAAAACUCCCUGCUGCUUUUUCACUACAUCCAUAUGUAAUUAUGCAUUAUGCAGUAUAUGUGGUAUACGUAUGCACGGAGUGCCAUGUGUUCGUUUUUUGCUUAUCUUUGAUGUUCAUCCAUAACAUUGAGGCGCAGUAGUUGAGGAGGUGCUAAGUUUAAUUCCCUCGUCGGCUUCCAUGUGUGUCACACUUAUUUUAUGCAUCGCUGUGGCAGCAGCUGCUCGCAUUUCCUUGGUGCUCAUGAGAUGGACUUACUGAAGCAUUUUAGCGGGCCAAAAACACACUCUUAGUAUCAACACAGCAAGCAAAGUGGCCUGUAUUUGCUUCAAAUCAUUUAUUAUACACAUACUCAAAGUCUUGAUGGAGGCUGAACAGUUUCCCUCAGUGGGAAGUGCAGAAAUUAAACAAAAAUCUUAAUAGAGGAAAUGUUUUUAGCAGGUGUUAAACUGCAGCUCACACAUUUUGUCAACAAAUUUGUCACGUGAAGCUAAUUUCUGGUUAACAGAUUUGCAUUUUAAUUAUCCAAUAUAUUGAUUGGAUUCUUUAUGUACAGCAUUAUAUCGAAUGGACUCUUUUUUUUUUAGAUUUGCCAGCUCCUGUUGCAGUUUGACUGAGGGAGAAGUCGGCUGUUACAUUGCUCGGGUGCGAGUCUGUUUCUAACAUAUACAAACAAACAUUUCUGACCUCUAGUUUCACCUUGAAUCGUGAUAGCUAUGGCAGUGCACAGUGAGAAUGUGUAAUGAUUCUGCACUGGCAAGGAUAACGUCCAAUGCGUGACUGAUCAAUGUCCUCGCUCUCUUUGCCUGUAUUGAUCAUCCAGUGUUUGCCCGUGAGCCAGACAGACCUGACAUAAAACAAGCCUUUCUCCUCAUUACUUAAAGCACAGUCCAAGCAUCUGUCCCCUUGUCCUCGCUCUGUUUUUCAUUAUGAUCUAUUAGAAGGCAUUCAUUUCCGAAAUGGCCUCGUGCCCCUGCGGACACAGUUAAGUCACAUUUGUAAUGUAACUUAACUUCCAUCUUGUGCCAGUUAAUAAGUCAUUCUCUUAACUUCCCAGGCUGAUAACGUGUCUAUCUUUAGCUGCAUGCGGCUCCAGAGGCUGUGAGUCUGUUUUAUUAGCGCACGCCCAAGAUUAAGGUUGGACAUGAUGAGAACAUUGCCUAAAUGACCCUGUGUAAUGGAAACGCUAUUAAGCAUUUAUAAAGGCAUGCAAGACUGGAUUUAGGGAUGCAUUCGAGGUCAUUGUCUAAGGGAACUACAAAGACAACGAUGCACCUGUAGAUCCACACAUAAUUAGUCUCUUCAAACUUUAAUUAGGACAGUAUUUUACCUUGUGUUAAACUGUCUGCAGCUCAUUUAUUAUUACUGACCUUAAUGUUGUGUUGCAUCAGAUGUGCAGAGCAAAUCCAAGCUGAUGUGUUUUUUUCCCUCCCAAUCAGGAAUCACUGUGUUUACAAGUGUAAAUUCUGCUCACACAGCCUGGAGCACGGAAGUCAAAUUUAUUUUCAUAUAUUGGGUUCAACUGGAGAAUGAAAGGCAAACAGACAGGGGAAAGAAGGCUGUUUGCAAUGAAUGUGUCUAUUCCGCACAAGGUCUGAGCCUAAUACCUGUCCCUUUUUAUUGAUUCGAAUCUUUGUGUUUGAUAAGUGGCCCUGCACUCGACACAUGUUCUCACACACGUGCUCUUACAACAGCCUGAUCCCUUUUUAAUCCUGCUAUAUAACGUGUUCAUUCCUCAGUGGGGAUGUGAAAAAUAGUCUGUGGUAUACACGCUCCUGCACGAGUUGAACCGGAAAUUAUGUAACUUCAACUUAACUCCUUUUCUCUUUACAAAACACUUGAUGUUUUGUUGCCAUGGAGAUGAAAACCCAGACAAUACCUCCCAUGCUUACCGAGAUGCAACUACUGGGAGGUUAAUAGCAACAUGAUUUUCUCACCACAGAGGACAAUUUAAAUAUGUUUAUCACAUUUGUAAGGUUGUUAUUAAUGAGCAGAUACAAGAGUGCUCAAUAUCAGUCAUUUGGAGCCAGGUUGAUGAAGAUAAUCAAUACUUCUACUGGCAUCAAUUAAAUAGCAAAUUAAAAUCAACGUGUUUAUGAUUGAGGUAUGUGGUAAACAGAUAUUCAACAUGUGAUUACUUUUCAUUGUUGGAAUAAUUGGUUUAAGACAGAAUAAUAUAUUUAGUGUAUUAUGGAAUCAAACUGAAAAAGUAAAACAAGUUAUCUCAGGUCAAUUAUGUGGGUCAUCAAGCAGCUUUUUUUCUGGUGACUUUAUGCCUUAAGGUUUUAGCUUCAUUUCAUCAUUUCUCUUCUUGCAUUCAGUUAAACACCUCUCUGAAUGAUAGAAAACACACACUCCUGUGCCAUUAAACACAGUUUUAAUGCAAUCCUCUGUAUUAUUUGUUAAUACAGUAGCAUGUAACAUCAUAAAAAUAAAAACUGACAAUAUAUGGAGAGAGCACAUCAGUAAACGUUUUCUAUCUUUCAUUGUUUGCAAUGUCUUGUGGAAGGAUGCUGAUGCUGGAGGCAGGACGUGGAUCAGCACAAAAGUAACUUUUUAAAAAGUGGAUUAUAAUAAUACUUUAAAACGUGGAGUAUAGUGUAUAUGCAGUUGUUUACUUGUAGGCCCUCCCAAGGUUUAACAGUUUGUGUACUUCAUCUGUGUACUACACUUUUCAGUUGCUACUUCAGACAAAUAAAAUUUGUAUUUGUGUUUUAGAUGAUAUUUCUAAUUUCAGUCUAAUACAGUACUUGUGUUGCCUCCAAUGCGACAUCUUGUGCUUCGUGGAGAGACAUGAAAUAAGCUGCUCCUGGUUUGAAUGGUGUAAAAGAAGUCAAAAGGUUUUUACAAGAUAAUUUAAAUUGAUUUUGUUUUUAUGUAGCGUGGGAAAAUAAAACCUAAACAAGUCUGGUACAUUGUGCCUAAUUGACUCUUAUGCCACUUGGCUCUUAAAUGCACAGACAUCGUCAGUGCCAAUAUGAGUAAGAAGACACUGGUUUAACAUUUUCGUCAUUAAUCACUGCUGGAACAAAGGCCUCCAGAAGAUUGGAGGCGAUCUCUCGCCACAUGGUGCAAAAGAUUUUGCUUGAGUUGAGAUGACUACUGAUCCUGGGGCUGUUGUUCUGUGUUAUUAAUGUCUGCUGAAGCAUUACGCACUGGACGCAUUCAAACUCGAACUACUGGACUCGGUGGCUGUAGAUCGCGCGCGCAUUGAUUUACAAGCGGGUGCGCGCUCGUUUCAGCACCAUGGAGAGCAACACCCCCUCAGAAAACAAAAUAUAGAG